UACGGGGGGGAGCAAGCGUUGUUCGGAUUUACUGGGCGUAAAGGGCGGGUAGGCGGCCACCGCAAGUCAGUUGUGAAAUCUCCGGGGCUUAACUCGGAAAGGUCAACUGAUACUGUGCGACUAGAGUGCAGAAGGGGGCAACUGGAAUUCUCGGUGUAGCGGUGAAAUGCGUAGAUAUCAGGAGGAACACCGAUGGCGAAGGCAGGUCUCUGGGCCACUACUGACGCUGAGAAGCGAAAGCAUGGGGGAGCGAACAGG
rnacentral:rRNA from 1 species